UGGGGGAUAUUGCACAAUGGGGCGAAAGCCUGAUGCAGCAACGCCGCGUGAGGGAAGACGGUUUUCGGAUUGUAAACCUCUGUCCCCGGUGAAGAAGCAAGUGACGGUAACCGGGGUAGGAAGCCACGGCUAACUACGUGCCAGCAGCCGCGGUAAUACGUAGGUGGCGAGCGUUGUCCGGAUUUACUGGGUGUAAAGGGAGCGCAGGCGGGACAGCAAGUUGGAUGUGAAAUACCGAGGCUUAACCUCGGAGCUGCAUCCAAAACUGCCGUUCUUGAGUGAAGUAGAGGUAGGCGGAAUUCCGAGUGUAGCGGUGAAAUGCGUAGAUAUUCGGAGGAACACCGGUGGCGAAGGCGGCCUACUGGGCUUUAACUGACGCUGAGGCUCGAAAGUGUGGGGAGCAAACAGGAUUAGAUACCCUGGUAGU
rnacentral:rRNA from 1 species